AAAUCUUUUGAGACCACAGAAAUCUAUCCGACUUUGAAGAAAUUUGACUCAGAAUAUAGAAGAGGAUGAGAUCGAGAUCUGCAACUCCCUUCCUUUCAAGAGAGCGGUCAUAUGGUUGAAUGCAUUGCAAGAUCUUAUAGAAGCACACCAGGUACAUGAGUCAGCUGACUGUCGAGCUGUAGUGAAUUCAUGGAUCAUUGAGAAAGACCAGCUUAGGAUGACGACCAAGUCUCUCUUCAACCAGCAGUUCGGCAGUGUCUUCCGUACGCACCACAACUACUCCUACUUCACGUCCCGCCUCUGCCGCUUCGCAGACAUCUACAUGUCCUGCGUCGGCAACCUCCGCAACUACUCGUUAACGCACACCUUCUACCCGCGGCGUACGGCCCUGCCGCACGAACUUUCGUAUAACUUCACAGUGCAAUGACCCCCAUGCAUGAGCUAUUGGUACUGCAGGAAGGUCAUUCAUGUAGCUGGAAUGUUACCAAUGUACCGAGGACAAUCUAAUGUUAUCAGUGAAAGCCGUGUAUUCGAAGCACCUGUAUCAGGUGUGGGGUUUGGGAAUACUAGUAAUUGCUUUCUUAGCAAUUUCAGAUCAAGCUCGGGCAAGUUCAACCAUUUCAGUUUAAAGUUAUUUCACAAUAAGUCUUUCCAUAAUUGACUACCAUUUGGAGUAAAACAAAAGAGUAAUAAAAAGUGAUUUUUACUUUUGUGUGUGCUGUCUGUUACUCAUAACUGGUUCUGACUAGUCUGCAGGCACAGGCCCUGAAUGAAACUGUAAUCAACAAGUGGGUCUUCACACAAGACUAGCACAUAUAAAUCUUGCUGUUUCAAUUCAGAGCGAGGGUACUUCACCACACAAUUCAUUGUAGGGUCAGUGAAGGGUUUGCAUAUCAGACUCGGUUCUGACCACCACUGAAAUAUGUGUCAGUCUAAUAUUCCAUUCCACUUGGCUAGGGGUUGACAUCAAAGUUUUCCCUUUAAGUCACUGUCAGGUCAAUAUAUUUGGUUGCAUUUUUAAAUCAUCAUCUACAUAUUUGAGUGCAUUCUUUAUCACCAUCAGAUGGAUAUAUUGGAAUGCAUUUUAGACCUCCAUCAGGAUGAAACAUUUUGAAUGCAUUUUAUGUCACAAUCUGGGUGAUUUGAAUGUAUUUUUAAUUACAAUCAAAUGAUAUACACAUAUGUGAAUGCAUUUUGAGUCACCAUGAAGCAACAUAUUUGAAUGCAUUAUUAUUUACUGAUUGGAUGAUAUAUUGGGAAUGCAUCUUAUAUCACUUUCAAGGGGAAAUAUCUGAAUACAUUUUACUUGACGGUUUGACCAUCAGAGUGAUACAUUUGAUUGUAUUGUGGGCAUGGUGGCUCAGUGGUAGAGCGACCGCCUCUUGAAUGUGAGGUUGUGUGUUCAAUCCCUGGCCGAGUUAUACCAAAUACUGACAAAUAUUGGACCUUCGAUAUUGGUGUUCUUGUUGGUGCUAUGUCUUUCUUGCAUUAUGUAGUAUAUUUGAAGAAAGUAUGACAUAACAUUUGACCCUGUAUAAUGUUUUGUAUUCAUAGUUUGUGUACCCAUGCAAUGACUUCCAAUUAUUAGUGUGUUGGUAUUGAUUUAAUCAUUUCACCAUGGAACUUUCUGUAUAUUGGGGGUGGGGUUGUACUAAGACCAUUAUAUCCUUAAACCAGCUAAACCAGCCUUUCCUACGAGGAGAUGUGGAAAAAAAAAGGCUGAGGAAUGUAAAAUGUUCAUACUUGAAGACCAAGUAAACGUUUCUUAUCAAAAGGGGUUUGAAUGGAAAUGUAUUUUAUUUUCUUUUUCUUGACCAUUUGUCUAUAAAGACCAAAUUUUGCCUCCCUUUCAGAAGUAGUUGCAUUUUAUCAUGAAAACAUUUACUUGUCUAAGUUUGCAUGUGAAGGCUUUUGUCUACAAAGACCAACUUCUUCAGUACGUAGUACAUGUACCUUGAAGCAACGUUUUCAUAAAUUCAUUUACAGAGAUGAAGCAUUUCAAUUGCAACCCAACUUUAUCACAACACUCUAUGCUCAAAUUGGAAAGUUGCACUUGAGUUGCGAUUGAACGCAUGUUUCUUGCAAUUCAUUAAAUCAUAUGUUGUGGUCUUUAAUUCAAAUCCCAUCGCUCAAAUGUGUGAUUAGAAUGGCCGUAUGAAAGCUUUAAAAUAAAACGGCUUUGUUUAUUUCCAUUGAUACCACCUUCCCCUCCCCUUUGUAUUCAAAAGUGUCUUCCGUAAGUUACAUGUUAUUUACAUACUGUAUGUUAGUCAAAUGGCAGUUUUUCUGUAUAUGUAUUUGAUGGUAUGUAUUUUAUUGCCAAAUGUUUGCCAAAACUGUUUUAAUAUGACUUGAAUAUGUAUUUCUGUGAAAAUAUGUGUACUAACUAAUAUUUUGAUUGCAUGAUUUCAUUUCAUCUGGUAUUGUUAGCGAAGUGGACAAUGGGUGUGUUCAAUGUCGAGUUUCAAAUUCAAACAGCAGCAUGAAUCAUGAUUGAAAACUCAAUUACAAAACACCGAACACAAACAUGAUCAGCGGUGCACUGUUCAGUGUCGAAAAUCUGUUGAUUGUCUUUGAAUUUCCUGCUUGCUUUAGCGCAGCUUUAUUGCGCAGUUUGACCCAUAAGAAGAAAGGUCUAUUCUGACACCUGCUUGUGUAGGCUUUCACUGGGAGAGCAAAUUUAAAGGGGAAGUUCACCCUGAAGAAAUUUUUGUUGUAAAAAUAGCAGAAAAAAUAGUAAAAAAUAUUGGUGAAGGUUUGAGGAAAAUCCGUUAAAAAGUAAGAAAGUUAUUAGAGUUCAAAGUUUUUGAUUUGUGACGUCAUAAACGAGCAGCUGCCCCAUGUGUUAUGUAAUAUAAAAUGCAUGAAUUUCAAAUUUUGUAUGGUUCCUGAUGACUUAAUUUUGUUUUCUAUUCAUGAUCGGGAGUGAAAUGAUUUGUCUAUUGAUGUACAAAAGGUACAGUGAAAACCAUUUUCAAUUUUCUGAGAAAAUGACAUUUCAUUGAUUUUUUACCGUUCGCUAUGUAGGAAUGCUGCUCGCAUAUGACGUCACAAAUCAAAUAAUUGAAAUUCUAAUAACUUUUUGAUUAUUUGAUGAAUUUUUCUCAAACCUUCGGCAAUAUUUUUUAUUAUUUUUUCUGCUAUUUUUACAAUAAACUUUUUGUCAGGGUGAACUUCCCCUUUAAAGAUGUUUCAGUACUCAAUCAUGUUCAUUGUUGCAUUUGCGAUGCUGAAGGUCGUAAAAUCUGAGGUGAUCGCGUUUAUAGACACAUCUUUUCAUCGUUUGAAUUUUCCUCCGAAUCGUGAUUUGAAAGACAUUUACUUUUACGACCGGGAAUGAAGGACAUUGAAUGCACCCUCUAUUUCUCAUAUAAUAAUAAUAAUAAUAUAGGGUAUUUAUAUUGCGCACAUAUCCACCUUGUUAGGUGCUCAAGGCGCUAUUACCCGGCUAAGCUAGGCGUUCAUAGCGCACACAGCUUUUUAAGGAAUUACUUCCUACUGGUACCCAUUUACCUCACCUGGGUUGAGUGCAGCACACUGUGGAUCAGUUUCUUGCUGAAGGAAAUUACGCCAUGGCUGGGAUUCGAACCCACGACCCUCUGUUUCAAAGUCCGAAGACUAAUCCACUGGUCCACAACGCUCCAUAUCUGCAUUUUGUAAUCACACUUUCGAUCAUGAUUUAUGUUGCCGUUUUAAUUUUGAAACCGACAUUGGACACACCCAAUGUUAGCCAUUUUGAUAUGUGUUAUUUGUAUAAAUGAGAGCAUAUUUUGGUGGAAAUAUAUUUACAUGUUCACAUGUUUUAUGUAAUGUAGUACAUAGUUGUUAUCACCACUCAACAAGGAUGGUGCAGUGUUAUGAUACAAGUUGUCUAUUUUAUGUGGUGUAGAAAAUAUUUUCAUAUCGUGUAAAGAUUACAGUUUGUGUCAACAUAGAGCUUAAAGUUAUGAUGUAUUUAAAGAAAACUUGGACUCCAAUGAAAACCUGAAAAGCCUCUGAAUUUUUGUCUCACCUGCAUAGCAGAGUGAGACUAUAGGCGCCGCUUUUCCGACGGCGACGGCGGCGGCGGCGGCGACGGCGACGGCGGCGUCAACACCAAAUCUUAACCUGAGGUUAAGUUUUUGAAAUGACAGCAUAACUUAGAAAGUAUAUGGACCUAGUUCAUGAAACUUGGCCAUAAGGUUAAUCAAGUAUUACUGAACAUCCUGCCUGAGUUUCAUGUCACAUGACCAAGGUCAAAGGUCAUUUAUGGUCAAUGAACUUAGACCAUGUUGGGGGAAUCAACAUCAAAAUCUUAACCUAAGGUCAAGUUUUUGAAAUGUCAUCAUAACUUAGAAAAUAUAUGGACCUAGUUCAUGAAACUUAUACAUAAGGUUAAUCAAGUAUCACUGAACAUCCUGCAUGAGUUUCACAUCACAUGACCAAGGUCAAAGGUCAUUUAGGGUCAAUGAACUUUGGCCGAAUUGGGGGUAUCUGUUGAAUUACCAUCAUCACUUUGAAAGUUUAUGGAUCUGAUUCAUGAAACUUGGACAUAAUAGUAAUCAAGUAUUACUGAACAUCCUGUGCAAGUUUCAGGUCACAUGAUCAAGGUCAAAGGUCAUUUAGGGUCAAUGAACUUUGGCCAAAUUGGGGUAUUUGAUGAAUUACAGCCAUAAAUUUGAAAGUGUGUUGGUCUAGUUCAUAAAACUUGGACAUAAUAGUAAUCAAGUAUCACUGAACAUCCUGUGCGAGUUUCAGGUCACAUGAUCAAGGUCAAAGGUCAUGUAAGGUCAAAGAACUUUGGCCACGUUGGGGGUAUUUGUUGAAUUGCCAUCAUAUCUCUAUAAGUGUAUUGGUCUAGUUCAUAAAACGUGGAAAUAAGAGUAACCAAGUAUCACUGAACAUCUUGUGCGAGUUAUAGUAGUUUUCAAAAUCAGCACUGCUGCUAUAUUGAAUCGCGUGAUGCAGGUGAGACGGCCAGAGGCAUUCCACUUGUUCUUGAGUUGAAUUGUAUAAAUCUGACAAAUCAAACAAACAGACAAACUAAUGUUUCAGAAUAAAACAGUAAUAUGAAAGUUAAUGCUAUUUAAAUCCUCUUAUUAGGACUUCAGUAACAAUUUUUUUAUAGGUUUUUGCCUUGUUACACAUUGGACAGACGGAUAUCUCCCAGUCUACGAUGGGCAUUUUGAAAAUCACUUUUUGUAGGGAAAAGUUCUAUGAUCUUACAUCCUAUCUUCAUAUGGGAACUCAUACUAAGGAGUUUGAUUUGAUUUUUGUUCUAAAGAGGAAAAUUUGAGAUAUGUAUUCUUUUUAUUCAUUAUGGAAAUAAUAUCAAAGCCAGCUAAAAUACUUCAUAUUUGGGUACACUCUAAAAACUAAAAGGUUGGAUAGGGGUAAAUCAUGUUUUAAUAGGGCUGAGGAGUGAUAGUGUUUUCAGUAGGGGUGAAAAAAUGCUGUCACUCUUCGGCCCUUUUCCACCCUUUUUGCCCUUUGUGUUUUAAGAGUGUAUGUUUUUAAUGUUUUUAACAAAAAUUCCAUUGAUCAUAUUCAUUAUAUUUCCCCCUCCCUCUCAUAUUCUCAUUCAAUCCUUCCCUCACUCUCUCUCCCUUAACCUUCUCCUUCGUAAUUCUUCUUCCUCCUCCUCCUUCUUCCUCUUUUUCUUCUUCUUCUUCUUCCUCUUCUCCUCCUCCUCCUCCUCUUCUUCUUUUUCUUCUUCUUCUUCUCCCUCUUCUUCUUUUUUUUUCUUUUUUUUCUUCUUCUUCCUCUUCCUCAUCCUCUCCCUCCUCCUCCUCUUCUUCUUUUUCUUCUUCUUCAUAUUCUUCCUUUUCUUCUCUCUUUCUACCCCACUCCCACCAAACAUAUUUCUGUCAUAUUCACAGAUACAUGAGUACUGCAACAUUAAUGCACAAAAUUCUCACUUGUGGGCCACAUUUCAAUAAUAGUGGACCAGCAGUAUCAGUAUUCAAUAUUUAUCUUUAUAUUCCUGGUAGAAUAAUACCAAAUGCCAGUAUGUGUGGUCACUGUGGUAAUAUUUGAUGUUUCUAGAAUUUAUAUAUUUUAAUGCAUGCUUUGAUUGACAUUGAUAAAUACCUUGCUAUUGCUUGCAGGUUUAGAAUUGAAUGUAAAUAUUUGAAUUGGAAUAAAUAUCUGAUAGAUGCUCUUGUUAAUAUCUUUUAUCUGCCAAAAAGUUGUUGGAAAUGAAUUGUUUCCUUUAAAUAUGUUUUCUUCUUACCUUGCAUGAUGAGAUUAUGCAAUAUGUCUUUCCUGUUUUAAUAAGAUUUCCUAAAAUUCACCUUUAAAUUUUACUUGCUGCAAAUUAUUUUUGUUCUCUUAUUACGUUGAUGAAAAUCGAUUGUAUAAUAAUUGUAAUGAGUUAGCAGCUACCAAAUGCAUGUAGCAUAAAUCCAUUUGUGGCACCAAAAGUUUUUAAUUUAAUUAUUCUAAUAAUUAUGAUCCUCGUUAACUUUUGAAUGCAGAUGUAGUAAUGAUUAAUUUAUUUUGUAACCAAAAUACAAAAGUGUCAACUAUUGACCGAUCUGUGUUUUAUUCAUGACUGCAUGUUAUUGGAAUUGUUAUAUAAUUGAAAAUACUGCAUGAUUCAGGAAUGGAUUCAGGUUUUCGUAGAAGAAUGGGAUUGCAACUCUUAGAAAGUAACUGAACAGAUUUGAUUUGGACCACGUUGCUCCCUCUUUUUUUUCAGUGAAAAGGGCACAUUACAUAACUUUUAUUGAUCAACGCAAUCUUUUGUGGUUCUAUAAGUUGUCAUACUUACCGAAAGUUGAGAGUUUGAAACCAUAUUGACUUUGUUGUGCAAUCAUUGUUAUUGCUUCUUGUUGUUGAAUACUUACUAUGUAAAAUAAAAUAAUGCAAUAAUCUUAACAAUAUAAACAAUGUUUUUAGUUCUUUUGUGAGAUAUUUGUUGCGGCAAUGAGAGAGGCAGUAAAUCGGCGAUUUGUCUUCACCCACUUCAUCUGUUUUUUUUCCAUUUUAGUCGUAUCUACCUCCUUCAAAGUUUAUCUUCCUCUACAAUCAGUUCAUCUGCUAACCAUUUGGUCUAAUGGUCAUGUAGCCCAUUUACCAUUUUGUCUAAUUUCGUGUUAAUAGGCUAUACACAUUGACCUGUAUUCUGAACUCGGGUUUAAAUUAAACCCUGGUUUAAAUUGUGGAUUAAGUAUGGAGAGCCAAUUGGGGCACAAAUUAUUAACAGUACACAUCCAAUUCAUUAACUCAUUUGACACUCAAAUUGUUCAUAAUUGUCUGGAAUGAUAACUCAAGGAUUUUUCUUCAUUAUGAAAGCAAAAGGAAACAAAAUAGUAAACAUAAGAAAUAUACAAAUUGAGCUGUCUAGACUGGAAACCAAUCUAUGCAUCCAACGAUGUCAACCAUGCCUAUGAUCUGUUUUACUCAAUUUUUUAUGAUGCUUAUAAUGAAUGUCUUCCUACUGUUAACAGUAAAAAAAAAAAAACACGAUUUCACAAACCUUGGAUUUCUUCUGGCAUCUUGAAAUCUAUAAACAAAAAAAAUAUCCUAUAUAAAAAUUUUCACAGAUACUCUGGACCAGAAAAGAUUAAAAAAAGGAAAGAAGAAAAAUACAAAAGCUAUAAAAACUGUUUGGUAAAAGUAAUUCGGUUUGCAAAAAGAGAAUAUUAUAAUAAAAAAUUUAACACCUUAAGAGGUAACAUGAAGAAAACAUGGCAAGAAAUUAAUAACAUAUUGGGGAAAAAAGCUCAAAUUUCUCUACCAACCAAAAUGUUUUACAAUAAUGAAUCUUUUGAUACCAAUCAAAUGAAAUCUAUUUAUUUCAACAGAUAUUUUGCAAAUUUGGGCAAAAAUCUUGCUCAAGUCAUCCCUGACCCCCACACAGAGUUCAUGUCUUUUUUAGGAGACAACAAUAUUCAUUCAAUGUUUUUUAAACCAACCAAUAUAAAUGAAAUACUAAAGAUCUGCUCCUCCUUGAAAUCAACGUUUUCCUGUGGCUCUGAUGAUAUUAUCCCAUCUAUUGUGAAAAAAUGUAUUUAUCAAUGUGUCCAUCCACUGUGCCAUAUAUAUAAUAUGUCUCUUGAAUAUGGUGAAGUUCCUAAUGCAUUUAAAAUAGCUAAAAUUGU